UCCGUAGGUGAACCUGCGGAAGGAUCAUUAUCGAGUUUUGAACGGGUUGUAGCUGGCCUUUCACGAGGCAUGUGCACGCCUGGCUCAUCCACUCUUAACCUCUGUGCACUUUAUGUAAGAGAAAAAAAUGGUGGAAGCUUCCAGGAUCUCGCGAGAGGUCUUCGGUUGAACAAGCCGUUUUUCUUUCUUAUGUUUUACUACAAACGCUUCAGUUAUAGAAUGUCAACUGUGUAUAACACAUUUAUAUACAACUUUCAGCAACGGAUCUCUUGGCUCUCGCAUCGAUGAAGAACGCAGCGAAAUGCGAUAAGUAAUGUGAAUUGCAGAAUUCAGUGAAUCAUCGAAUCUUUGAACGCACCUUGCACUCCUUGGUAUUCCGAGGAGUAUGCCUGUUUGAGUCUCAUGGUAUUCUCAACCCCUAAAUUUUUGUAAUGAAGGUUUAGCGGGCUUGGACUUGGAGGUUGUGUCGGCCCUUGUUGGUCGACUCCUCUGAAAUGCAUUAGCGUGAAUCUUACGGAUCGCCUUCAGUGUGAUAAUUAUCUGCGCUGUGGUGUUGAAGUAUUUAUGGUGUUCAUGCUUCGAACCGUCUCCUUGCCGAGACAAUCAUUUGACAAUCUGAGCUCAAAUCAGGUAGGACUACCCGCUGAACUUAAGCAUAUCAAUAAGCGGAGGA
rnacentral:rRNA from 1 species